GGGCUGGUCCUGCUUCAUGGCAGGUUCAGCACGCUGUACCCGGGAGACGUCGUCCUCACCGGGACCCCUCCGGGGGUUGGCUUUAGCCGGAAGUCCCCCGUCUUCCUGAAGAGAGGAGACGUGGUCCAGUGUGAAAUCGACGAGCUGGGAGCCAUCCAAAACAAGCUGGUGUGAGGACACCUCUGGCCCCCAGGGCUGAUCGGCGCCGGGGGCAAGCACAGCACUGCCCGGGCCGUAGCGUUGUGCAAUAAACCUCUCCCCCAAGGGCUCGCGGUUCCCCCGUGGGGCCAAGCUGUUGUUAAAGGGACGGCGGAGGAGGCCUGGGGUGCUCGAUUAGCUGCAAGGAAAAUAAAUGCACUUCCCUGCCCUGUG